AAAUCCAAGACACUUAUUACGCACUGUUGUAUCAUUCUGAACUUUCCACGGAAUUGCUGGCUAAGUUCCGCAUGUUAUUGUAGGGCAUUUGUAGCAUCACAAUAUAGUUUAUGAGGUAGAAAUGUAGUAUUAGCAAGUCACUUUCCACGGUGACUGUGAACAUUUAUCCUUGUAGAGUAUGGACAUUGUCCAAUUAUAACUAGAAAAUGUACUUCAUUGCAACCCUACAUGGCACAAUUCUUGAAUUCGGCGUACUCGUGGCUCACCAAUCACCAUGCCUCUAGAUUAAAGUACACUGUUUUAGUUCUCAAUUUGUAUUUCAAAUUCUUUGUAACAAUUAGCCAUCAUAAGUUUAUAAUUAUAUCAUUCAUGCAGUUCUCUUAGUGUUAUUAAGAGACACUGCGAAUCUUCUUUUAAGAUCUUGUCCAUGCUAAUAAUACAUAUACAUCCUUUUCAGACCUGAGCCACUUAAAGCAGGCAACUCCUGCAUGUUGAAUGCUCCUAGCAGUACAGCUCGUAGCUCUGGACAUAACAUUCUAACAAGUCUACAUGGCACUCCUUCCAAAGAUGAUAAAAUAGCAGCAGCUUUUCAACUGACAGGAUCAAGGAAUCAGUUCCAGAACCAAAAUUUCCUGCUGUGCUGAAACACAUCAUGAGAUCUCCAGCUGUGAGGUUAUUGGUUGGACAACUUCAAUAUGCAAUGUAUCUUAACGCUACAAUUGUUAUUUAUUUGAACUAACAAGCUUGCCAGUUUGUCGUGCAGAAAAUCACCACAAACUGUUCCAAAGCUGGGGAAUCAAACAGUUAGUGUCCUGAUUUUCUGAGAUUCCUUGUAGUCUUGCUACACGGUCAAACAUUCUAAAAAGUGAUCACUAAUU